CGUCCACCUGCGUCGUGAGCAAAGGUACGUCACUCCGUGGCACGGGAAUCUCGUGACUAAAACAACUCAUCUUAGUAAAACACAGGUGGAUGGGUGGUUGACGGCGUAGUUUUCGUAAACCUUUACAAGGGCUCCGCCUUCGUCCACUGUGGGCAGGUGAGUUGCUGCACUUGGCAUUGAGCUCAGAGCGAUCACGGUUGCGUCUGCUCUGUAAGCACAUCCUGUAGACCUGUGCUUGAGGAUCACUUGAUCUCAAAAUGGAGUUUUACAAUGGCCUUUUCAGAUCAAUCCAAAUAAUCAUUAAAGCCAGUAGGCAGCUAACAGCUUUAGAGGGUUUUAUUUAGCUCUGGAAUGAGAAAAAACAAGCUGCAGCAGCAGUUCUAUGAGGCUGGGCUUCGAAACAGAGAAGAGAAGGCAGAUGGCCCCCCAGGGACCACUUAGUGCUAAACUCCCCAGAAAGGGAAUCAGUUAGGACACCACUUAUUUUGCAAGGUACAGACACUGAUUAAUCAGCUGUACUGAAUUCACGAUCGUCAUGUGCACAUCACUUUCGGGAGCAACUUUAAAUGCCCUGGGAGGUCCAGGCAGGAUUAAAUAGGAAAUGGAAACCACCAAAAUGUCACUGUGUUGGUCUAUAAUAUACCCUGUCUUAGUCUAAAACUGGGCUCAUGGUCAUUCACAAGUAUAUAUUCAGAACAACAAAGGAACAAUAGUAUUAAAGUAAAGACGAAGACGGAAAUGGAGUCCGAGCAGUUGCCACACACAAAAAUGCCCGACAGAGACCAUGGCCUGACAAGUGGGAAGGGUUAUCGUGUUCUCCUGGGAGGCCUUGCUUCUAAACAUCCUUGUGGCUCUAAAACUCCUCAAAAUUGGCCUGCAGUCUGUGAGGAUGGAGCGUUUUCAGGGUGGAGGGGAAGUACUCGCAUAUGACGUGAGACCGCGUGGACGGGAACAGAGAAGGCGUGCGUGGACCGAGAGUUAUUCCACUUCAGGGAGGGACUAUCUAAUGUUAAGUGUUCUCAUUAAAUUUUAAGUUUUUC